rnacentral:rRNA from 1 species
GACGAACGCUGGCGGCGUGCCUAAUACAUGCAAGUAGAACGCUGAAGAGAGGAGCUUACUCUUCUUGGAUGAGUUGCGAACGGGUGAGUAACGCGUAGGUAACCUGCCUUGUAGCGGGGGAUAACUAUUGGAAACGAUAGCUAAUACCGCAUAACAAUGGAUGACACAUGUCAUUUAUUUGAAAGGGGCAAUUGCUCCACUACAAGAUGGACCUGCGUUGUAUUAGCUAGUAGGUGAGGUAAUGGCUCACCUAGGCGACGAUACAUAGCCGACCUGAGAGGGUGCUCGGCCACACUGGGACUGAGACACGGCCCAGACUCCUACGGGAGGCAGCCGUAGGGAAUCUUCGGCAAUGGGGGCAACCCUGACCGAGCAACGCCGCGUGUGUGAAGAAGGUUUUCGGAUCGUAAAGCUCUGUUGUAAGUCAAGAACGGGUGUGAGAGUGGAAAGUUCACACUGUGACGGUAGCUUACCAGAAAGGGACGGCUAACUACGUG